ensembl:snRNA U6 U6 spliceosomal RNA
UUUCUCUCUGGUAAAUGUACUAAAACCCAAAUGAUACUGAGAAGAUGAACACAGCCUCUGCACUGGGAUAAAACACAAAUGCAUGAAGUAUUGCACAGUUUU